rnacentral:rRNA from 1 species
AGAGUUUGAUCAUGGCUCAGGAUGAACGCUAGCGGCAGGCUUAAUACAUGCAAGUCGAGGGGCAGCAGGGUGUAGCAAUACAUCGCUGGCGACCGGCAAACGGGUGCGGAACACGUACGCAACCUUCCUUUAAGUGGAGAAUAGCCCAGGGAAACUUGGAUUAAUACUUCGUAACAUUAUGAGAUGGCAUCAUUUUAUAAUUAUAGUUCCGACGCUUAAAGAUGGGCGUGCGCCUGAUUAGGUAGUUGGCGGGGUAACGGCCCACCAAGCCUACGAUCAGUAACUGGUGUGAGAGCACGACCAGUCACACGGGCACUGAGACACGGGCCCGACUCCUACGGGAGGCAGCAGUAAGGAAUAUUGGUCAAUGGACGCAAGUCUGAACCAGCCAUGCCGCGUGGAGGAUGAAGGUCCUCUGGAUUGUAAACUUCUUUUAUUUGGGAAGAGACCCACGUUUUCUAAUGUGGUUGACGGUACCAGAUGAAUAAGCACCGGCUAACUCCGUGCCAGCAGCCGCGGUAAUACGGAGGGUGCAAGCGUUAUCCGGAUUCACUGGGUUUAAAGGGUGCGUAGGCGGGUUGGUAAGUCCGUGGUGAAAUCUCCGAGCUUAACUCGGAAACUGCCGUGGAUACUAUCAAUCUUGAAUAUCGUGGAGGUAAGCGGAAUAUGUCAUGUAGCGGUGAAAUGCUUAGAUAUGACAUAGAACACCAAUUGCGUAGGCAGCUUACUACACGAUCAUUGACGCUGAGGCACGAAAGCGUGGGGAUCAAACAGGAUUAGAUACCCUAGUAGUCC